GUUUUAAUAAUUUAAAAUAAAAUAUUGGUCUUGUAAACCAAAAAUAAGAAAACUUUUAAAACU
rnacentral:tRNA from 1 species